CGUCUGGAAAGGCGCGCGAUACAGGGUGACAGCCCCGUACACAAAAAUACACAUAUUGUGAGCUCGAUGAGUAGGGCGGGACACGUGGUAUCCUGUCUGAAUAUGGGGGGACCAUCCUCCAAGGCUAAAUACUCCUGACUGACCGAUAGUGAACCAGUACCGUGAGGGAAAGGCGAAAAGAACCCCGGCGAGGGGAGUGAAAAAGAACCUGAAACCGUGUACGUACAAGCAGUGGGAGCACGCUUAGGCGUGUGACUGCGUACCUUUUGUAUAAUGGGUCAGCGACUUAUAUUCUGUAGCAAGGUUAACCGAAUAGGGGAGCCGAAGGGAAACCGAGUCUUAACUGGGCGUUAAGUUGCAGGGUAUAGACCCGAAACCCGGUGAUCUAGCCAUGGGCAGGUUGAAGGUUGGGUAACACUAACUGGAGGACCGAACCGACUAAUGUUGAAAAAUUAGCGGAUGACUUGUGGCUGGGGGUGAAAGGCCAAUCAAACCGGGAGAUAGCUGGUUCUCCCCGAAAGCUAUUUAGGUAGCGCCUCGUGAAUUCAUCUCCGGGGGUAGAGCACUGUUUCGGCAAGGGGGUCAUCCCGACUUACCAACCCGAUGCAAACUGCGAAUACCGGAGAAUGUUAUCACGGGAGACACACGGCGGGUGCUAACGUCCGUCGUGAAGAGGGAAACAACCCAGACCGCCAGCUAAGGUCCCAAAGUCAUGGUUAAGUGGGAAACGAUGUGGGAAGGCCCAGACAGCCAGGAUGUUGGCUUAGAAGCAGCCAUCAUUUAAAGAAAGCGUAAUAGCUCACUGGUCGAGUCGGCCUGCGCGGAAGAUGUAACGGGGCUAAACCAUGCACCGAAGCUGCGGCAGCGACGCUUAUGCGUUGUUGGGUAGGGGAGCGUUCUGUAAGCCUGCGAAGGUGUGCUGUGAGGCAUGCUGGAGGUAUCAGAAGUGCGAAUGCUGACAUAAGUAACGAUAAAGCGGGUGAAAAGCCCGCUCGCCGGAAGACCAAGGGUUCCUGUCCAACGUUAAUCGGGGCAGGGUGAGUCGACCCCUAAGGCGAGGCCGAAAGGCGUAGUCGAUGGGAAACAGGUUAAUAUUCCUGUACUUGGUGUUACUGCGAAGGGGGGACGGAGAAGGCUAUGUUGGCCGGGCGACGGUUGUCCCGGUUUAAGCGUGUAGGCUGGUUUUCCAGGCAAAUCCGGAAAAUCAAGGCUGAGGCGUGAUGACGAGGCACUACGGUGCUGAAGCAACAAAUGCCCUGCUUCCAGGAAAAGCCUCUAAGCAUCAGGUAACAUCAAAUCGUACCCCAAACCGACACAGGUGGUCAGGUAGAGAAUACCAAGGCGCUUGAGAGAACUCGGGUGAAGGAACUAGGCAAAAUGGUGCCGUAACUUCGGGAGAAGGCACGCUGAUAUGUAGGUGAAGUCCCUUGCGGAUGGAGCUGAAAUCAGUCGAAGAUACCAGCUGGCUGCAACUGUUUAUUAAAAACACAGCACUGUGCAAACACGAAAGUGGACGUAUACGGUGUGACGCCUGCCCGGUGCCGGAAGGUUAAUUGAUGGGGUCAGCGCAAGCGAAGCUCUUGAUCGAAGCCCCGGUAAACGGCGGCCGUAACUAUAACGGUCCUAAGGUAGCGAAAUUCCUUGUCGGGUAAGUUCCGACCUGCACGAAUGGCGUAAUGAUGGCCAGGCUGUCUCCACCCGAGACUCAGUGAAAUUGAACUCGCUGUGAAGAUGCAGUGUACCCGCGGCAAGACGGAAAGACCCCGUGAACCUUUACUAUAGCUUGACACUGAACAUUGAGCCUUGAUGUGUAGGAUAGGUGGGAGGCUUUGAAGUGUGGACGCCAGUCUGCAUGGAGCCGGCCUUGAAAUACCACCCUUUAAUGUUUGAUGUUCUAACGUGGACCCGUGAUCCGGGUUGCGGACAGUGUCUGGUGGGUAGUUUGACUGGGGCGGUCUCCUCCUAAAGAGUAACGGAGGAGCACGAAGGUUGGCUAAUCCUGGUCGGACAUCAGGAGGUUAGUGCAAUGGCAUAAGCCAGCUUGACUGCGAGCGUGACGGCGCGAGCAGGUGCGAAAGCAGGUCAUAGUGAUCCGGUGGUUCUGAAUGGAAGGGCCAUCGCUCAACGGAUAAAAGGUACUCCGGGGAUAACAGGCUGAUACCGCCCAAGAGUUCAUAUCGACGGCGGUGUUUGGCACCUCGAUGUCGGCUCAUCACAUCCUGGGGCUGAAGUAGGUCCCAAGGGUAUGGCUGUUCGCCAUUUAAAGUGGUACGCGAGCUGGGUUUAGAACGUCGUGAGACAGUUCGGUCCCUAUCUGCCGUGGGCGCUGGAGAACUGAGGGGGGCUGCUCCUAGUACGAGAGGACCGGAGUGGACGCAUCACUGGUGUUCGGGUUGUCAUGCCAAUGGCACUGCCCGGUAGCUAAAUGCGGAAGAGAUAAGUGCUGAAAGCAUCUAAGCACGAAACUUGCCCCGAGAUGAGUUCUCCCUGACCCUUUAAGGGUCCUGAAGGAACGUUGAAGACGACGACGUUGAUAGGCCGGGUGUGUAAGCGCAGCGAUGCGUUGAGCUAACCGGUACUAAUGAACCGUGAGGCUUAACCUUACAACGCCGAAG
rnacentral:rRNA from 1 species